UGGGGAAUAUUGCACAAUGGGGGGAAACCCUGAUGCAGCGACGCCGCGUGAGUGAAGAAGUAUUUCGGUAUGUAAAGCUCUAUCAGCAGGGAAGAAAAUGACGGUACCUGACCAAGAACGCCCCGGCUAACUACGUGCC
rnacentral:rRNA from 1 species